UUUUAUAUGCUUUUCUUCUUAGAGGAAUGCUAAAUAAAAAUAAAACAAUAAAACUACUAAGUAUGGUCCAAUUGCCUUGUUGAUUCAAUCAACAAUCCCCGGCAACGGCGCCAUUUGAUGAAGUAUCAAAGUAAGUAUAUAAUUAUCGUAUCCACAUGGAUUGUUCUGAAUCAAAUAGGAGUAAAUUGGUAUCAUACGAGAGUAAUUUGCAAUAAAAUAAAUAGGGGGAAGUGUUCAGAUUUCAGACUUGAGAAAGUAAAUGACAAGAAAAUAAGGUUUUCUUUCAAGAUGCGAAGGCGAUUGGAUCUUUUCGGUUCAUCUGGUCACUAUUGUCUCGGAUAUCCCAUGCGUAUUAA
rnacentral:lncRNA from 1 species